CGGUCAGCCGCGGACCUCCCUCCACUCCGCGCGCACGCGCGCUCUUCACCAACGAGCCCUCGGCGUCGAGGCGGCCAAACAACAGCGCCCCCUACCGGUCCUAGACCGCCAACCCGCUAACAGCUUCUAGCGCCAGAUAUCACCUAGAAAAGAGAGGGAUCCAGCCUCAGCUCCAUUAAUGUGCCAAGUGGAGUUUGAAAUGGCCUGUGCUGCUAUCAAGCAGUUGAAGGGACCUGUGAGUGAUCGGGAGAAACUGAUAGUGUACAGCUUCUACAAACAGGCCACCCAGGGCGACUGCAAUAUCCCUGCCCCACCUGCCACAGAUGUGAAAGCCAAGGCCAAGUGGGAGGCGUGGAAUGAGAACAAAGGGAUGUCCAAGAUGGACGCCAUGAAGAUCUAUGUUGCUAAAGUGGAAGAACUGAAGAAAAAUGAUACUGGUUAAGGCGGACAAAGGGUCAAACAGAAUGAAGUAGCAUGGCUCUUCUGAUAGGGAAAUGGGCUUAAAAGACCUUGUUGGCUGAAAUGUCCUGAAACUCAACCAUAGCUGAGACAUCAAUAAAUCACUUAAACUGCA